UACGUAGGGGGCGAGCGUUGUCCGGAAUCAUUGGGCGUAAAGAGCGUGUAGGCGGCUUGGCAAGUCUGACGUGAAAGCCCGCGGCUCAACCGCGGAUUGUCGUUGGAAACUGCCUCGCUAGAGUCCGGAAGAGGAGAGCGGAAUUCUUGGUGUAGCGGUGAAAUGCGUAGAUAUCAAGAGGAACACCUGAGGUGAAGACGGGUUGCUGGGCUGACACUGACGUGAGGCGCGAAAGCUAGGGGAGCAAACGGG
rnacentral:rRNA from 1 species